GCAGUAAAAGUAUUGUAGCAGUAAUUCGGUCAAUUGACCAGAAUGUUACAUAUACAUUGCGCCUAACAGAGUUCAAAAUCCUGAAACCACACAACUGGUUGAACGAGAAGAUUAUUGAAGGCUACAUCCAAAAACUGUUUAAUUCAAAACAUGGAAGAAAAAUAUUUUUGUUCAACCACUACUCCGCUGGUAUUGUUGUGUUUGAUAAGAGGGCUGCAAUGUCUAAACACAGAUUCCGAAAGGUCAACUUACAAAACUAUGAGGCCAUAAUUGGAUUCAUGCAAGUACAACAUAACCACUGGAAAUUUCUGUAUCUCAACAGGACAAUGCAGAAAGUGUUUGUAGUGGAUCCCCAAGGAAGAGAUGAAGUGAAAGAAUCUAAAAUUGCCGCCGCAAGAUUCAGAAGAUACUUCAAAAUGUGGCAGAUAUAUCAUGGUAAAACAGUCUAGGUGGAUGUGCCAUAGACUCAUGGUGUCUUGAACCACAGUCUACAGGAAGAUGGUUGCAGCUGUGGAGUAUAUGUUAUGCAGAUGGUUAAGGAGGUAGUGGAGGCUUUUCCAGUGACACCAUCAGAAAUCGUGAUACAUUCUAGAAUGGACCUCUUGUCAGAGCUGCGUAAAGAGAUGGCUGUAACAAUCCUAGAAGUAUCGGUAUUCAACCCCAAAGAUCACUGCUCCUUUUGUGGAGAAGAGUCUCCUGUUGGAUGUGUGGGCCCGAACACAUGGAGGGACAUCCAGAAGAACUGGACUUAACGGAAGGGAGAUGGUCUGGAGAAAAAGAGAGCAGCAAGAGAGAGGAUAACGCAAACAAAAAGUCAGAAAAAGAAUCAACAACCAAGUGCGACGGGAAAAAAGAAAGAGUGAGACGGAGACCACACAUGCCAUCGAGGAGAAGAUCGAAGUGCAGAAAGCGUACGACACGCUGCUCCUCGCUCAUCCAGUGACAUUGGACGGGGAAGUUCCAAACAGGUGUCUGCGCUCAGUGGCGUCUGUGACAUUCCAGAGGCAACUCUAUAAGCGCUGGAUUAAAGCACAGAUGAGACUGCGAGUGCAAUCUGUCAUCUCACACUUAGGCUGGCGACUUCCAAAAUAAAAAAAGAGUCAUUAGAUGGAUUUCGAGUUAGGGCUGGAAAAGCAACACCCCUUCCUACGCCCACAUCGUCAGUGACUGGAAGGCGCCGGGACCCGUUCGUGCUGUUAUGGACUGCACGCACAUCCGGAAGCUCACCAUCUCACAGAAGUGGAAAGGCCUGAAACUGACUGAUAAGGAUGUUGUCACAAAACGUUCUUUCCAGAUCGGAGAGGUCAUUUGGGACUAUCACGGACGUGUAGUCACGGCAAGUGAGGACUAGAACAUCCAAACUGGCAAGGGUCAAUCUGGAGGCUUGUUCUUCUACACAAACAGGAAGGGCGAGCCGAUGUGCAUAGACUCCAGCAGCUGCGAAUGCCACACCGACAGGCAGCCAUUCUGUCACCGCAUUUGCCACUAUGGGAAGCAUGCCAAUAUACGUCCCAAGCUGUUAACAGUUCAGGAGGAUGGGAAGGAGGAGGACAUUAUCUUGUUUCUGGCAAUCCGAAAGAUCCCGCCAAAUGAAGCACUCUGCUACGAUUACGGAGACAAGAAGAAGUCCUACAGGGGAGAGGGUCUAGAUCUCAACUGGGAAUAGACCACGACUUCUGGAACACCACACCGGCAAAACACACUGUUUACGAAUAACCAUGCAAAACUAUGGACACUUUGGCCAGCAAUCUACAUUUUUUCGUCUCCUGAUGAACAAUGCAAGCGUUUAUGAAUUUAGCAUGCAGAACUAUGGACACUUUGGCCAGCAAACUUCAAUUUUUUCCCCUCCGGAUGAUGAUAUUUAAUUUUCAUGUUCGGUAUUGUUUUGUUCAAUACGUGAUAUCUUGCUCCAGAAUGAAAAUUUCAAGCAGGAGGUAGAAAACGUUUCCAGAUUUCUCCACUUCAUGGACCCACAACAACCGUCCCUGUUGUUUGUGAGGAACAGGGAGAAAUCAAAGCUGUUUCUGCGUGAGCUCACUGAGGCCAAGUUGACCAAUCAGACUCAGCUAAACUACCUCAAGAUCACAAAAAGAUUUCUCCAGUACCACACGGACCUCAAGCACAGCGAAUGAAAACAUGGCAUGAAACAUUGAUAGAGCAGUGAAUAGGUUCAGUACACAGCAAAAUCGCAUGACAAACUCAUUUUUUUAUUUAUUUGGCGUUUAUCGCGUUUUGGAAAAGAGCUCUUCAUAUGCAAUAAGUACUAACAAGAUGAUUAGAGAAGCCUUUGGAGGUGAAGGCAUUACAGUCUAGGCAGGUGUGUUGAGUCAAUACAAAACUGCCCUACACCUUGUGAAUGGUACUGUGACAAUACUACUUGAAUAUUAAUCCAGUCAUUGUGCCUCUGCAUGAGCAACACAGGCCUGAUUUCAUCUUCAUGGAUGACCUUGCCCCAGCUCAUUGAGGUUGCAUGAUCAUGGAACGGCUGCUGGAGGCAGCGGUACCUCAAAUGGAGUGGCCUGCACUUAUAGAAAGCCUCUGAGAUCAGUUGUCAUGUAGAGGGUCGUAACAUUAUACCCCAGAACCUCAAUGACCUGAGGAAAGCCCUUCAAGAACAUCGAGUUGUGAGCAUCAUGAGACGUCAUUGUCAAGUUAUAAUUCAUGCUCAAGGACACAUAAGUUAUUUAAAUUUUCUGUUGUGGUAUA